rnacentral:rRNA from 1 species
AACGCGAAGAACCUUACCCAGGCUGGACAUACAGGAGACGAUAGCAGAGAUGCUAUUUUCCGCAAGGACUGCUGUACAGGUGCUGCAUGGCUGUCGUCAGCUCGUGCCGUGAGGUGUUGGGUUAAGUCCCGCAACGAGCGCAACCCUUAUCAUUAGUUGCCAACACUUAAGGUGGGGACUCUAAUGAGACUGCCUAGGUUAACUAGGAGGAAGGUGAGGAUGACGUCAAGUCCGCAUGGCCUUUAUGUCUGGGGCUACACACGUGCUACAAUGGUCGGUACAGAAGGCAGCGAAGUCGUAAGAUGGAGCAAAUCCCCAAAGCCGAUCUCAGUUCAGAUUGUAGUCUGCAACUCGACUACAUGAAGUUGGAAUUGCUAGUAAUGGCGUGUCAGCAACAGCGCCGUGAAUACGUUCCCGGGCCUUGUACACACCGAGUAUA